GCGCCCCGCAAGGGGAGCGGCAGACGGGUGAGUAACGCGUGGGAAUCUACCCAUCACUACGGAACAACUCCGGGAAACUGGAGCUAGUACCGUAUACGUCCUUCGGGAGAAAGAUUUAUCGGUGAUGGAUGAGCCCGCGUUGGAUUAGCUAGUUGGUGGGGUAAUGGCCUACCAAGGCGACGAUCCAUAGCUGGUCUGAGAGGAUGAUCAGCCACACUGGGACUGAGACACGGCCCAGACUCCUACGGGAGGCAGCAGUGGGGAAUAUUGGACAAUGGGCGCAAGCCUGAUCCAGCCAUGCCGCGUGAGUGAUGAAGGCCCUAGGGUUGUAAAGCUCUUUCAACGGUGAAGAUAAUGACGGUAACCGUAGAAGAAGCCCCGGCUAACUUCGUGCCAGCAGCCGCGGUAAUACGAAGGGGGCUAGCGUUGUUCGGAUUUACUGGGCGUAAAGCGCACGUAGGCGGAUUGUUAAGUUAGGG
rnacentral:rRNA from 1 species